rnacentral:rRNA from 1 species
GAAGGAAGACUGCCCUAUGGGUUGUAAACUUCUUUAUAAGGGAAUAAAGAGCGCCACGUGUGGUGUGUUGUAUGUACCUUAUGAAUAAGCAUCGGCUAAUUCCGUGCC